UUUUUUUUUUUUUUAAGAUUUAUUUAUUUAUUAUGUCUAAGUUCACUGUAGCUGUCUUCAGACACACCAGAGAGGCCGUCAGAUCUCAUUACAGAUGGUUGUGAGCCACCAUGUAGUUGCUGGGAUUUGAACUCAGGAUCUUUGGAAGAGCACUCAGUGCUCUUAACCGCUGAGCCAUCUCUCCAGCCUUUCGUUCUUUCUUUCUUUCGUUCUUUCAUACAGAUUUAUUUUUAUAUGCAUUGGUGGUUUGCUGCAUGUGUGUCUGUGUGAGGGUACCAGAUCCCCCUGGAACUGGAGUUAUAGACAGUUUUGCUAUGUGGGUGCUGGGAAUUGAAUCUGGGUCUUCUGGAAGAGCAGCUAGUGCGUUUAACCAUUGAACCAUCUCUCCAGCCCCUUUGUGGGUUUUAACUCUCAAGAUUCUCAAAGGGUAUUUGGAAUACCAGAUGUAAGAACUAGAAGAUUAAAAGCAUUAGUGUUGAGGGCUGGAGAGAUGACUCAGCAGUUGAGAUGGAAUACCAAUGUUGGCAGAGAGCCCUAGUUUGUAUCCUACCACUCAUAAGAGGCUGCUCACAACCUCAUGCUUGUUAUGGGGCAGGGGUUCUCUGUGUAGUGGCUGUCCUGGAACUCACUUUGUAGUCUAGGCUGGCAUUGACCUCAGACAUCUGCCUACCUCUGUCUGUGGAGUGUUGUGAUUAAAAGGUGUGCACAGCACAGUCCUUCUCACAACUAUUUACAAUAGUAGUUCUAGGAUACCUGAUGCCCUUUUCUGGCUUCUGCAUGCACCUGUGCAUGUCUGCCUUUUUUUUUUUUUUUUAAAGAUUGAUUUUGGUGGCAUGAGCAUUCUGGCAGAGGCAGAGGCAGAGGCAGAGGCAGAGGCAGAGGCAGAGGCAGAGGCAGAGGCAGAGGCAGAGGCAGAGGCAGAGGCAGAGGCAGAGGCAGAGGCAGGCAGAUCUUGAGUUCCAGGCCAGCUUGGUCUACAUAGCAAGUUCCAGUACAGUAUGGGCUACACAGAGGAACCCUGUCUCAAACAAACAAAUACUUAGUUUUUAAUUAUGUGUAGUGUGUGCACAUGUUGUAGGUGUCAGAUUUCCUGCAUCUGGAGUGUCAGGCCGGGAACUGAGCUGGGGUUGCCUCUAAGAACAGAGCAAGGUCUUAAUUGCUGAGAGCUCUCUACCUAUUGCUGUUUUAAGUUUACAUUUUAGGCCAGGUGUGGUAGCGCAUGCCUUUAAUCCCAACACUUGGGAGGCAGAGGCAGGCCUACACAGAGAAACCCUGUCUCGAAAAAAACAACAACAACGAAAGUUUUAUCAUCUAUUCAGUUUACUCUCUGGGGAAGAGCUAUAUUUUUUUAUCGUCAUAUGUAGAGAAGAAAGUUCAAACCUACAAAGAUGGAGUGUGAUGGAGCCAGUCUGAUUACAGAACUCAGGCUCUAGACAAGGAACCCAUAACCAGUUUCUAAAAAUUUCUGAGGUUGGGAAACAUGAAAUGAGGAACACUUCGUGGGUAGAUGAUGGGUUAGGGACAAUGGCUGCAUUACUCUCUCUGCCCUCUUCCACUUAAAUUCAGUUUGCAGGGUGAAGAAAUGAAAAAUGAACUCUUGUGUCUUGUUUUUACUUUAUUUCUCCUUUCAUCUUUGUAUUGCUGGCAACUAUCAAAUUGAAACAUGUAGUCACCCCCCUCCCCUUCUUUUUUUAACUAAUGUUACUUUUUGGAAGCGAGAACAGUGAUGUUUAAGAGCCAAAAUUUGGGAUUAGAUGCUUGGAUAUAAAUGGCAGUUUCACUACUUACCUGCUGAGUGAUUGUAAUCAGCUAUUUGACUUCACUGAGGCUCAUCUCGCCUGUAAAAUGUGUAGAAGACACUGCAUUCCUUAGAACAGUGGUUCUUAACUUUCCUAAUGCCAUGACCCUAAUACAGCUCUUCAUGUUGUGGUGACCCCCCAACCAUAAAAGUAUAUUCGUUGCUACUUCAUAACUAAUUCGCUGCUGUUAUAAUGUAAAUAUUUUUGGAGGUAGAGGUUUGUUGAGGGGGUCGUGAUCCACAGGCUGAGAAGCUUUGCCUUGCUGAGUGGCUGGGAGGAUGAAGAGUAGUGUGUGGUGAACAGUCAAGGCAUCUAGUGAGCACUUGGUACUUAUUUUCAUGGCUACAGUCCAAGAACAAUUCUAGGUUGAACUAGUAACUGACUUGGUGAUCAGACUAUUUGCUCAUUAAAUGCUAUGCUAGUCUAAAUGCUGUUUUUGCUUUUUUUAAAAAAGAGACUUAGGGCCUUGAGCUUCUGAUCCUUCUGCCUCCACCUCCUCAAAUAGUGUUGAGAUUAUUUGUUGAGUCUAAUCUUUUUGGGAUGGGGGGAAAUCAUUCAUCAUUGGUAAAGGACCUGAGUGCAAUCUCCAGAGCCCACAUAACAGUUGGUACUUUUCUACAAAAGCUUAUCUAUUCUGCUUUGUGAACACCAGGCUAAUGAGAAACCUUGUUAAAAACCCCGAGGUGAAUGGCAGCUCCAGAAUGACAUCUGAGGCCAUCCUGCACUUUUGCACACAAGCACAUGUGUACUUAAACACAUUCACAGACACACAAAGAUUCCAUAUCUUAAUAUCCCAGAUUAAAAAAUUAGUGUGGGGUGGGGGUUGUAGGGGUAGGGUGGCUCACUGAAGAGAUGGUUAAUAGUUAACAUUUGUAAAGAAAGAAUCUAGGUUCCAUUCUAGCACCAGUGUUGUGGCUUACAGCUGUCUCUCCUGAUAUCUGUGGGCACUAGGCACACAAUAGGCAUAUACAUGAUGAGCAAAACAUACAUACAACAGAUCUAAAAAAAUUUUUUUGAGGGGAAAGUUUAUCUUUAAGUACAGUAAAUUCUUGAUGUAUUGUAAUUGAUAGUUGGUAAAACUGUAGUAAGAGAAACUAAACUCUGUGUGUGUGUGCACACGUGUGUUAGUGCUUGCAUGGCAUGCGUGUUUGUGUUGAUGUGUAUUCAUGCAUGCAUGAACACACUCUCUGGUAUACUUGUGGAGGUCAGAGGACAACCUUGAAUGUCAGUCCUUGCCUUUGACCUUGUUUUUUUGAGACAGGGUUUUCUUGUUUACUGCUUCGUGUACCAUGUAUGCUGUAAGCUUCUUCCUCCAACCUCCUGAUGGGGCACCCUGGGAUUACUGGCACUAUCUAUCACUACUGCACCUAACUUUUAUUUGAUUCUGGGGAUCUGAGCUUAGGUUGUUAGGCUUGUGUGGAAAAUGCUGUACUUCUGAACCAUGUUCCUAGCCCAUAUAAUAAUUACAAUUUAAAAUUUAUCACUGGUUAUAAGAGCUGAUAUUUUCAUUGUAAAAAUGUAGGUUGAAACACUUGAGGCCAUGAGUAAUAACUAGGCUAACUGGUGCUGACAUGGCUGCUGAGAACUAGAGGUCACUCUGAUCAUUGCUCACAAGUUCUGAGGGGGGUGGGCGAAGGCUGCGCUGCUUGUUACUAUAUCCUGAGUUACUGCAGCUCUAAGGCUGGGCAGUGAGUCAUUUUUUAGAGUAUUCUUCGGGCUGCAAUUGGUCUUGCAUAUAAUGCGUGUGUGCUCACACUGAAGCAGCUUUCACAAACUAUACUUCAUAUACCACACGAGACUCUUUUUAUAGCACCUUCCUUGCCCAAGGCAGGCGGAUCUCUGAGUUUGAGGCCACUCACAGAGUGAGUUACAGAACAGCAAGGGCUACACAGAGAAACCCAGUCUCAGGG
rnacentral:lncRNA from 1 species